CUCUCUCCUCCCGUUGACCCUCUCUCUCCCUCUCUCCUCCCGCCGCCGCAUCGCUUGCUCUCCGCUGCCGUGCCUCGCCGCCACCCCGCUCACCGCUUUGCGGGCCCAGCCGCUCUCGCAGGAUCCAGAUCCGCCGCGGGGGCGAGGCUCGGAGAAGAAGCGACAGCAAGCUCCUGCGCGGCUCCGGCAUUGGCACGAGGGCGCGGCAGAGGGGCCAAGGUUAUCUCGCCGGCGGACAUGCGGGGAGCGGUGCGCCGCGGCUGCCAUCGCCCCGGCGUGGGGGAGGAACGCGCAACACCGGCUCUGGCGCGAGAGAGCAGGAGAGGGAGGGAGAGGCCACCACGGUGGGGGAGCUGGCGCGCGGGGCGGACCAGAUCUCGUCGUCCCCGACCAGGAGCCGCAACGCCAUUCUGGAUCUGGCUAGAGAGCACAUCGUCAGCCUCCCCGAGGUCCCGGAGGCGGCGGCCGCAGACCUCGGCGUCGCGACGGCCCUUGGCGAUGAGGCCGAUGCACGGGUCCGGACCGCGCGUGUACUACGCGCCACCGGCCCUUGCAUCGGAGCUCAACGCCGCCUGCCCCACUCGCUAAGCCUGGAGCUCCCGCGCCCAUCCGUCGAUGAGCUCCCGCGCUCUUCUGCCCCACGCUGCUCCUCCGCCCAAGCUUGCCACGCCCGUGCACCUCCUCCCGCUGCGGGGCGCGCCUUCGCUUUCACCAUGGUGCACCAGCACGAUCCGGCGGGGGCGAGGCAGUGGGUGAUCUCGCGCCUGUAGCUGCAGCUCUGGGAGCUGCUGCUGGGCACAGCGGAGCGGGAUGCCCAGCAUGUCCUCUCACCACCGUGACGACAAUUCGGAAGCAACUUGAGUCCUAGCAUGGCGGUCGUUGCCUUACUGCAACAGAGUGGACCACUUCUACUUCCACUCCUCUGCGCCCUGUGCCGCCUCCGUUGUUCAGCAGAACCAAGGUCAUCUCCCAGCUGUUUGCAUAUAAGGGGUGCAUGCAUAGGUGGCUACAGGAACAGUGGAGGAGAUGAUUCGCAAGCAAUGUCUUGGUGGCGAUAAAUACACGAAGGAACCGUUCUACAAGAUGUGGCUUUCCGUACAUGGAUAUUAUGCACUGCUUUGCUUUCUUCUUCCCCUUUAAUGCCUUUCGGUCCUUAAAAAGGCUUGGAUGGCAUGGUAUGUUAGAACGGGCUUCAGCUUUUUAGUUUUGUUGUAUGAAACGUGGAUGCAAGUUUUAGAAAUUCAGAAUUUUAGGAUGAUGUUGAAAGGCUCAGCUUUAGUCACUCUAAACCAAAAGAUUGAAGCUGAUUCUAAAAUACUAUGUUAUUUUUGUUGCAUAUAUACUCAUUUAGUUGCUUGUCUGGCAGUGUCUCUUAGAUUUUCUCGUGCAAGUUGACUAUAAAUAUUUGUUUGAUAUGCUUGAUCUUGGGUAUAGGGUACUAAUGCUAUGGCAACAAUGGCAUGACUAUAAAUAGCAAUGUUUACCAUAUCUAAUUGUAAAGUCGUAUUUAUUGAGCAUAGACAUAGCUUGUGUUUGGAACAUCUGAUCAAUAGGAUAGAGUAAUGUUUGGAUGUGCUGUAA